GGCUCCUGAGGUGGUCAAUUUCGUAGCUACCACGCACCCUAUGGGUUAAAAGAGAUGCAGGGGAACGCCACGCCUGCCAGGAGCC
rnacentral:ncRNA from 12 species